CACCGACUGAAAGAGAGAGAGAGUUCGGUUCUGCUGUGGUUCUUCGUCUCGCUUAGUUGUUGAUCGGCAUAGACAGGUCUCAAUUUUCGUUUGUUUCCAGCUUGGAGGCAUAAAAGAUUGUAUCGGAAUUGCAAAGCUCUGAUUUUUGGUGUGGGUGGAGGCUUUUAAUUAGAAUUGGAGCAGAAUUGGAGUCAGGGGAAGAGUAACAUUUGGGUCUAGGCUUUGAUCAGGUAGCAACUAUACUUAUCUAAUUGGGUGUGAUUUUUUUUUUCCUUCUCUUCUUGCAGAACUGGACAAUAACUUUAUAGGAUUGUGGUGCUCUUUUGUAACAAUAUCUCUCUAUUUGAAGCUAUGAUGAAAUUCAGCUUUGUUUUUUAUUCUCUGCCACUGUAUUUCAGUUAUAUUGAGCUAUUGGAUUUUGUGUUUUAUCGUUGUUGUGAUUGUCGGAGGUUUGGUUAGAAGCUGAGUUUUUUUCGUGCAGUCUGAGUUACUGUUGUGAUUUUGCCCUAUAUUUGUUGUGAUCCAUUCGAGUUACUCUUCUAAAUUAAUUUCAUGAUUUUCAUCAUCUAUAUUUGUUGUGAUCCAUUCGAGUUACUGUUCAUUCAUGGGGAAAAAGACGAUUUUGCCUCAUUUGACAUUUUUUUACGGCUCUGCCACUGCCUCUUUUUUCUUCUCUCUUCCUCCCUUCUGCCUCCCAGACCGAGUUUUUUCCUCUCUCUUCCCCCCUCUGCCUCCUAAACCGAACAGCAGCAGCUGCGUGAGGUAAUGAAUUCCUUGCUACGUUUUGGUUGUUUUUGCUUCUCCACUUCGUUGUUUGGUUAGCUUGGUUUAAUAUAGCUUGAGAAAUUUGAUUUGGGUUUGUGAAAGAAUAAAGAUUGAUUCUUUUCUUAUGUAAAUUGAGGGAAUUGAUGGGAAUUUGAAGAAAUGGAUUUUAAAGUUUGCUAGAGCACAGAGCAGAUCUCAGCCAUCACUAUUCACUAAUUACGUAGCUGUGAAAGGAUUUGCAUAAGAACUUUCAAGCAGGAUUGAGCUCCCAUCUCCUUUAAUCCGGGUUGGAAAGUGAUUGGAACAGCAAGUAGUGCUUAAAAGAAGAGACUUGCAGAAAGUAGAGUUUCACUCAUUUUUCUUUUUAUACUUUGCGAUUCACGGCUUGACUUUGUGUUCUCUUUAUUUGCUUAAUGAGAUUUAGAUAUAUUUUAAUGCCUGUAUUCAUGUAUUAAAGUAGUGCUAGCAGAGUCAUGUGGCAGUUACGAUUACUUUAUUCAUUUUAUUUCCUGUUCUUUUCAUGUUCCUAGACAUUUUUGUUUUUUAUUUUUUGACUUUUCUUUCUCCUUUGGCUUUUGUUUCUGAUUAGAUUCAGUUUGUCUUCAAGUUAGAUUUUAUGCGCAAGGGUAUCUGAUUGAUUGCAGAUAGAGGUUUUACUCUUCUUCUUUUUUGUGUUGGAAGAUUCAGUUUGUCUUCAAGUUAGAUUUUAUGCACAAGGGUGUGCACGUGAUUCUCCUGCCGCUGUUCCUUUGCAUAUUGUUUGGGAUUAUUUCAGUAUUGUAUUCUUCUUCAGAUAGAGGUUUUUCUCUUCUUCUUUUCUGUGUUGGAAGUGUAGUGCCUGCCUGCCUUUGUCUUUCUCCGUCUGGAAGGAUUCACUUGGUUGGAAAUGAAAUUUGUUAAUAUGAUUGUGGAAAUAAAUCCAAAAAUGGUGAUUGAAAGGAAGUUUUGUAAUAUGCUGUGGUAGAAAAGAGAAGAACAGGGAUUGAAAUCGGUAAGGUUCUAAAGUUUGAUUGAAAUCAGUAAGGUUCGAAAGUUUGAAGCUGUAGUAGAAAGGAAAAGAAGAGGGAUUGAAAUCGUUCUAAAUAUUGUUCACUUAAAUAUCUAGGAAAGAAGAAUAAGGAUUGAAAUCGACGAACAGAUGAAUUAGCUAGAUUUUGACCGGAAACCGGAAACCUCACUGACUGUACACACAACUCCAUCCAUUCAAGACAAAACUCCAUCAACAGCUAUUUCAGGAGCAUACUUCAAUUCAAUUUGUGCAUUGUAAUACAAAAUUUUGGCCAAAAUGUACCUCACUUCAGAACAUAAUUUCAAUAAAAACAAUUCCUCUGGAAUUUUUCCC